GACGAACGCUGGCGUCGUGCCUAACACAUGCAAGUCGAGCGAGCGGCGGACGGGUGAGUAAUGUAUGGGGAUCUGCCCGAUCGAGGGGGAUAACUACUGGUAACGGUAGCUAAUACCGCAUACUAUCGGAUGAACCCAGAUGGGCUUAGCUAGUAGGUGGGGUAAAGGCUCACCUAGGCGACGAUCGCUAGCUGGUCUGAGAGGAUGAUCAGCCACACUGGGACUGAGACACGGCCCAGACUCCUACGGGAGGCAGCAGUGGGGGAUAUUGCACAAUGGGCGAAAGCCUGAUGCAGCGACGCCGCGUGGGGGAUGAAGGCUUUCGGGUUGUAAACCUCUUGCGCUAGCGAACGGGUAGGUGGAGAAGAAGCGCCGGCUAACUACGUGCCAGCAGCCGCGGUAAUAC
rnacentral:rRNA from 1 species